rnacentral:tRNA from 1 species
GAGGAUAUAGCUUAGUGGUUACAGUACAUGCUUAGCAUGCAUGAGCUCUUGGGUUCAAUCCCCGGAACCUCU